AGAGUUUGAUCCUGGCUCAGAACGAACGCUGGCGGCAUGCCUAACACAUGCAAGUCGAACGAGACCUUCGGGUCUAGUGGCGCACGGGUGCGUAACGCGUGGGAAUCUGCCCUUGGGUUCGGAAUAACAGUGGGAAACUACUGCUAAUACCGGAUGAUGACUUCGGUCCAAAGAUUAAUCGCCCAGGGAUGAGCCCGCGUAGGAUUAGCUUGUUGGUGAGGUAAAGGCUCACCAAGGCGACGAUCCUUAGCUGGUCUGAGAGGAUGAUCAGCCACACUGGGACUGAGACACGGCCCAGACUCCUACGGGAGGCAGCAGUGGGGAAUAUUGGACAAUGGGCGAAAGCCUGAUCCAGCACAUGCCGCGUGAGUGAUGAAUGCCUUACAGGUUGUAAAGCUCUUUUACCCGGGAUGAUAAUGACAGUACGCGGGAGAAUAAGCCCCGGCUAACUCCGUGCCAGCAGCCGCGGUAAUACAGAGGGGGCUAGCGUGGUAGGAAUUACUGGGCGUACAGCGUACGUAGGCGGUGAUUCAUGUCAGAGGUGAAAGCCCUGGGCUCAACCCCGGAAUAGCGUAUGAAACUAGAUCGCUUGAUCGUCUGACAGGUGAGUGGACUUAUCACUGUACAUGUGAAAUCGUGCAUAUCAGACANACGUUUGCUAACUGCCUCUUACGCUGUGCCUAUGUCAGAGCUGGACAACUGAGCAUUCUGUAUUCGCAAUG
rnacentral:rRNA from 1 species